rnacentral:rRNA from 1 species
UACGUAGGGGGCUAGCGUUGUCCGGAUUUAUUGGGCGUAAAGAGCGUGUAGGCGGCCAGAUAGGUCUGCUGUGAAAACUCGAGGCUCAACCUCGAGAUGUCGGCGGAAACCAUUUGGCUAGAGUCCGGAAGAGGAAAGUGGAAUUCCUGGUGUAGCGGUGAAAUGCGCAGAUAUCAGGAAGAACACCCGUGCGAAGGCGGCUUUCUGGGACGGUACUGACGCUGAGACGCGAAAGCGUGGGAGCGAACAGG